UCCUGGGUCAUGGGAGAAGCAGCAAGCACUUGCCCACUGAAACUAUCAUACAUUUAUCCCAAAACAGAACCAGUCCAAAGGGGACUUUUUAAAAAGGACACAGCAUGUAGCCAAGGCUGGCUUCCCACUGAAUCCCCUCAAGCAUCUCAGGGUGGGGAAGACCACCGGUCCCUUCAGCCUCUUCCACCGCCGUUGACCACAGACUGACACACGAGGAAACCACGCUGACCACCUCUUGAGGGGACCAAGGCGAUACCAGAAGUUGCCUAUAAAAUUAGACGUGCCAACGGGGAGAUGUUUACCCAUUAACUCCACCCGGAGGGGAGAACCAACUUCCCAAUUACUGGUAAUGCGAAACACUAGUGGGAAGUCCAAAAUGACAGUCUUUUUACAACAGCCAUGGGGCCACUUCCCACUGACCCUGAGCAUUAACUGAGGAGGGACGGCUCAGCUGUCUGCUCUCUCCCCAGUCCUUAAUAGCAUAAAAUAAAAAGAUUUUAGCUAAGA